UUUUUUUUUUUUUUUUUUUUUUUUUGCUAUAGCUAAAUUCUUUAUUUUCAUGGAAACAGGCUAUGGACCAUAUAAAGAUAUUAACCUAAUAGAAAAGCCAAGUUCAACCUCAUCUUUGCUGUUGUAGAGUCUUUGUCUCCAGUUUUAUGGGUAGAACAAUUCUUCAACAGCUCAGAAUACAGACGUUAACUUUUACCAAAGAUAGACACAGCUACUAGUCUCGGUCUGUUGGUAUUCAAGAAGCCAGUAUCAUUUUCUUUCAAAAAGUUAAAUAGAAGUUAUGACUUCCCUAUGUGCCACAGCACCCAAGCCUUGAUUUUAGAAUCAUAAAAUUAGUUCAUGUAUUAUAAAACAUUUCUUUCAUCCAUCCUUACCAACACAAGUAAAUGACUCAUCUUAAAUAAUUUAAAGUCUUAGAAAACAGCUUCAAAUUCCAUUCUCCUAGAAAGAGUGUUUUGAUUAAGCUUUAUUCAAUACCUCUAUCACAGAGAUAUUAAAAAUUUAUCUUAUUUUUUAAAAAUAGCAGUUCAUUCCCACCUGGAUUUCAAUAGAAGAAAGAGAAGAGGUGAAAAAGUAUAAGGUAGAGCAGUGCCUUAGACUAUUGCCUAAUUUCAUGUAAUUUUUAAUAUUUUUAGUUAUAUUUUUAAUAUCAGGUUUUUAGGUGCAUACAUUUAUGUUACAGUUAUGUAACCAUCAACUGAAUCAAAAUAUAGGGAUCUAUUAUCUUCUAAAGUGAUUAAGUCUUUUAAAAUCUUUUAAAUUUAAUUUACUUUUUGUCAUUGCCUCUGUUCUUUUUUUUUUUAUGGGUAUAUAUACAAGUAUCAUUUGGUUUUAUUCUCCUAGAGAAUUUCUUCUUUAUUUCUUAUAGUGCUGGCAUGUUGGCAAUAAAUUCUGAGCUUUUUCUCUAAGCUUUAUCUUUAUUUCACUUUCAUUUUGAAAUAAACCUUCUCUGAGUAUACAAUGCUGAUUUAACAGGUUUUAUAUUCUUUAAGUACUUUAAAGAUGGUAAUCCAUUGGCUUUUGGCUUGUGCAUAGUUUCCGACAAAUACCCUGCUAUAAUCCUUAUUUUUCUUCUUCUGUAUGGAAUAUUUUUUCUCUAGCUCCUUUAGAGAUUUUCCCUUUGUCUUUCAGUUUCAAUAGUUUCUGUUGUUCCCUCUUCAGCUUUAGUGUGUCUUCCCUCAGUUGUGUCCAGUCUAAUCAUGAGUCCAUGAAAUCAGCUCUUCAUUUCUGAUAUAUUUUCCUUUCAGCAUUUCUAUUUGACAUUUUCUUAUAGUUUCCAUAUGUUACUAAAUUCCCCAACUAUUUAUGCAUAUUGUCCACAUUUUCUUCCAGUUUUCUGACAUAUUGAUAAUCAUUAUUUUUAAAUCCUUUUCUGAUAGUUUGAACAUCUGUGUCAUAUCUAAUUCUGAUUCUGCUGACUGCUUUAUCUCUUGACAAAGGGUUGUCUAUUCUUGCUAUUUUUAUAUAUGUCCUGUAAUUUUUUAUUAUUAAAUAUCAGACAUUUUGUAGAAGAAUAGUAGAGACUUGAAAAAAUAGUACUUAUGCUUGGAAAUGAAUGCCCAUCUUCUGCUAUGAAGUGAUUAGAAAGGGACUGGGUGCCAAUCCAGUCAGGAAAUCAAGCUGAAAUGGGGUUUUGUUUUUGCUAGUUAACCUUAACCCAUUAUAUCUCAGUUUUCACAUUCCUCUAGCAGUAUACUGAUGUCAUUUUGAGUUCAAAGUGGGACUAGAAUAUUAAAUGAUUAUUCUUAGUAUUCUUGCUUUCCCAUCAGCUUGUAGUACUGCAUAAAAGCCUACACCACAUUGGUAUCUCCCUCCAUGCCUGUCUCUCCUUUAGUAGUAGAUUGCUAUUGCUUGUUAUUCAGCAUGCAGCUCAUUGGGAAGGCAAGAAAUUUCUCUCUUGUCCUGGCCCAGCCUCAGUCUUAGGCAGGCUUUCUAUGUCAAGGCAUAGAUGGCAUUUCUACCCCUCCCACUUAUGGCAGUAAAACUCUUCCUUGAAACUGCAGUUGUACUUGGACAGGAAUUUUCCCCUCUCCCCCAGAAGGAGUGGAACUCCACCUGUUAUAAAUAGAAGAUUCUAUGUCCAAUCAGGAUUUCAGCAGCCCUCCUGGGGUAGAGGGUUUUGGCUUCUAUCUUUUCUCCAACUGCAAUAUAUUUUUGCUUGGUUCCUAAGAGACCAUUUCUCAUCCACCCUCCAGAAGAAGUUUUGCUUCUACUUUUACCCUAGAAGCAAUACUUCUGCCUAGAAGAGUGGAUUGCUGCUCCUUGCUGGACAGGCCUUUCCUUCCGAGGUAAGGAGGGUACAGAAAGCAGACUUGUGUCCGCUGCCCUCCCCACAGCAGCCAAUCACCUCCUUCAUACCGAAACCAUUGAGAGGGUCUCUCUCCAGUUGCCUUCCCUUCCUCCAAGUUUUCUCAUGAGGAAUUAACAAAGAUUUCACACAGAAAUGCUUCUACAUGAAUGUAAACUCCCUUUGUGUCCUGGACCCCAUUUAUUCCCAAUAAAUCUUUUCAAUGUGAUGGUUUUCCUGAUGUGUUGAUUUAGCAAGGAUACAGUCCUCUGUUAUUUAACCAAACACCGAUUGUUACUAUAAAGGAAGUUUUCAGAUAUAAGAUCCAUAAUCAGUUAACUUAAGUGAGGUAAAGUACGCUGGAGUGCGCUGAUUUAAUACAUUAGAAGGCCUAUUGUCACCAAUGGCAGGAUUUUCUUCCUUUUAUGGCCAUCUCAUAUUUUUGCAUUUUUUUAACCAGUCAUCCAUCAAUAGACACUUAGGCUGUUUCCAUAUCUUAACUACUGUAAAUGACACAGGACUAGACAUAGGAGUGCAGAUAUCCCUUUAAGAUAGUGAUUUUUAUUUCUCCGAAAUAUCUACCUAGAAAUAGGAAUUCUGGAUCAUGUGGUAAUUCUACUUUUAAUUCUCCAUUCUGUUUUCCAUAACAGCUAUACCAAUUUACAUUCCCACCAGCAGUGCACAUGUGUUCCUUUUCUCCACACCCCACAACACUUGUUAUUUCUUGUCUAUUUGACAACAGAUCUCCUAUAAGGUGUGGGAUGAUAUCUCAUUGUGGUUUGUUCUGUUUGUUUGUUUGUUUUUUACUAGCUUCAUUCAUUUUAUUUUUCUCAUAUAAAACUAGGUGGUGGCCACAGCUGGAACCUGGGUCAUCUGCACAGAAACUCUGGUGUGGGUCUUCAAAAGAUGGUUGGUGAAUUCCUGAUGAGUAGACUUGGUGAACACUGUCUCUUUCCAGAGAUCAGGAGUGAGAUGGCUGUACCUCUUGGAAAUGGCAUCAAAGGUGGCCUUGGCAAAGUUGCCCAGGGUGACAGUGAAGUCCCUGGCAAAGGUGUAGCAGUUGUCAAUUCCCGCCAUCAUCAGUAGCUUCUUGGGCUCAGGGGCUGAGACAAUGCCAGUGCCCCUAGGGGCAGGAAUGAGGUGCACCAGCAUGGAGUCACAGUGCCCAGAAGAGUAUGAGGCUUGCCAAUCUUGUUCCCCCAGUAGCCUCGCUGCACUGGGACAAUGGAGGGUUUGGCCAGAAUGAUGGUCCCACAGAUAGCAAUGGCUACCUCCUUAGAGCACCUGAUACCCAAACCAAUAUGUCCAUUGUAAUCCCCAAUGGCGACAAAUGCCUUGAACCUGGCCCACUGACCAGCGUGGGUUUGCUUCUGCACAGACAUGAUCUUCAAAACCUAGUCUUUGAGGGAUGCUCCCAGGAAAAAGUCAAUUAUGUCCGACUUCUUGAUGGGCAGAGAAAAGAGAUAGAUCUCUUCCAGAGACUUGAUCUUCAUGUCUUUGACCAGGCUGUCCAGCUCGGUGACUGGGAGCCACUACUUGUCCUCGGCUUUACCUCCGCGAGCUCCACAGCCUCGGCCCAGGAUCUGACUGCGGCCGCAGCUCUGGCCUCAGCAGCGGCUGAAGCGUCCUCAGAAGCCACAGCAGCCUCCCAUCCCAGGGUCCCUGGGGCCUCCGCCCCACCCCCACCCCACAGCACCAGCGUCCCCCUCCAUUUGGUGUUUUCCUGAAGAAGAGAGUCGUUGUGGUUUGAUGAACAUUUCCCUGAUGACUGGUAUGUAGAGCACCUUUUCAUGUAACUGUUGGAUGUUUGUGUCUUUUUUAGAACAAUGUCUAUUCGGAUCCUUUGCCCUGCCACUUGUGACGACAUAGUUGAAACUGGAGGACCUCAUGCUAAGUAAAAUAGACCAGACCCACAAAGAUAAAUACUAUAUGAUUUCACUUACAAGUUAACUCUAAAAAAUCAAAGUCACAGAAGCAGAGAAUAGAAUGGUACAUGCCAGGGACUGGGGUUGGGGAAAUGAGGAGGUGUUAGUCAAAGGGUAUAAACUUUCCAUUAUAAAAUGAAUAACUCCUGGGGACCUAAUGUACAGAGUGAUAACUGUAGUUACGGAUACUGCAUUGUAUGCUUGAUACUUGAAAUCUGCUGAAAGAGUAAAUCCUAAUUGUUCUCACCACACACAAAAUAAGCAACAACGUGAGGUGAUACGUGUGUUCAUUAGCUUGGCUGUGGUCAUGAUUUCACAUUGCGUAGGUACAGAAAAUCAUCUUGUUGUACACCUUAAAUAUACACAAUAUUUAUUUGUCCAUUAGUCCUCAAUAAAUAUUGGGAAAAAACUAAAUAUUCUCUCUGUGGACAGAAGCUUAAGCCUGUGACUGAGUUUCAUGCUGACCACAAUCUUUUCUUCAGGAAGGCCUGCAUUAUGAAUUUCAUAUUUUCUUAGCCAGCUUCUACAAUCACCUGAUACAAUUCCUUAUGAUAGAUAGAUAGAUAAGUAGGUAGAUGGAUGAUAUUAAAUAGAUGAUAGAUAGAUAAAUAGAUAAUGUCCUACUUAUUUUGCUUCUUUGGUUUAGCGUUGACCGUUCCUAAUGUCAGUAAUCUUACUUUCUAGUGAGAACGCAGAUAAUUAAAAAAUAAAUAUAAAGAGAACAUAAAGCGAUAUGAAGAGAAGUUAAGUAAGGUAACAGCAUAGACAUGACAGAGAAUGCCAUCUUAAAUAGGAGGUCAAAGAAGAAUCUUGAUAAAAAAAAAAUCUUAGGGUGAAAUCCUGAGUAAAGUGAGGUAGCAACGUUCUGCUUUUAGUUGAGAGAAAAACAUUUCUAGAAUUGCAAGUGCAAAGCUCAUAAGGUGAUGGAACACUUAGUGUGUUUGUGGAAGAGAGAAAGAUGGAAGGGGUGACAUUGUUCCAGCAAGGAAGAAAAUAGAGGAGAUAAGUUCAUACAGGCUCCCAGGGCAGAUCAUGGAAAACUGGGGGGUCUUAGGCCUAAGGUCUUCUUCUGAAUGAGAUGUGAAAUUCUGCUGCACUGGGGAGUAGCCCAGGUUGGAGGUACCUGGGUACUGGGUGGAAAACACAACAUAUGCUAGAAGAGAAGAAGCAGAGCAAUUGGUAAGUUAUUUCAAUAUUCCAGGAAAUGGGUGAUGGCAGUUUGGCCAAGAGUGAUAGAAAUGGAGGGUGAAGAAAUGGUUAGAUUCUCAGUGCAUUUUGAGGGUAGAAAUCACAGGUUUGCUAAAGGAUUUGGUUGAGGGUUGUGAGCAAAAGUAGAGGAGAAGGUCACUACACAUUUAUACUUGAGCCUCACUCUUUCAAGGGGCUUUCUCUGGUUCCCCAAUUCCAAGUGAUGCUCUAUGGUCCUGCUCUUUAGACAGAAAAAUCAUUGUCACCCCACCCUGUGUGUGCCUGUUUACUUUCUAUAAUCCAUUCAAGCCUCUCCAUCUGGACUAGUAACAGCUUGUUCAUCAUUAUGUGCCCAGGACCUGUUACAGUGCCCUGUAGACAAAAACAUUUAUUGAAUUUUAUUGAAUGAAUGACUGGGUUUUCUAAUAUGUUUAUAGUUCAGAAUUAGGAAAUUUUAUCUUAUAACUAUAUUAAUUUCAACCUAUUUAUUAUAGUUGAUGAUGUAUUAAAUAUAAUGUGUUUCAUCAAAUUUCACUUUCAUAAAUUUGUUAACCACUGAUAAUUUAUUUUCAAUUGUUUCUUACUUUCCUCUGUAUCUAUGAAAGAUUUAAUAUUUUUUUCAUAAAUUUGGAUGGUGUGCUUUUGUAUUACUCAUAUUAUCUCACCUGUGAUACCUAUAGUAAUAUUCAGUAUUUGUUUGUAUUUUCAAUUUUCAUAUUUUUAUAUACAGAGGUAGCUUAUUAUUUUCAUUUUUAUGAGGUCAGCUUUAUUGAUCACUUCUCUUACAUGGUCUUUAAAAUUUCUGUUGCACCUACAACAGAGCAAUUUAUAACCUUCCUCAAGUUAUGGUUAAAUUUCUAAAUUAUCUCU
rnacentral:lncRNA from 1 species